rnacentral:rRNA from 1 species
UGAGGAAUAUUGGGCAAUGCCCGCAAGGGUGACCCAGCAACGCCGCGUGGAGGAUGAAUGUCGUAAGAUUGUAAACUCCUGUUAGAGGGGAAGAAUAGUACCGGUUGGACCGGUAUAUGACUGUACCCUCAGAGAAAGCCCCGGCUAACUACGUGCCAGCAGCCGCGGUAAUACGUAGGGGGCAAGCGUUGUCCGGAUUUACUGGGUGUAAAGGGCGCGCAGGCGGGAUAAAAAGUCAGUGGUGAAAUCCUACAGCUUAACUGUAGAACUGCCUUUGAUACUUUUAUGCUUGGGUUCGGGAGAGAGAGACGGAAUUCCAGGUGUAGUGGUGAAAUACGUAGAUAUCUGGAAGAACACCAGUUGCGAAGGCGGUCUCUUGGUCCGACACUGACGCUGAGGCGCGAAAGCGUGGGGAGCAAACA